AUAUUUAUUAUUAUUUCUUACGUCACUUUUCUCUGUUCUUCUGUAUUUCAUUUAUUUGUUGCCUGUUCCAAUUUUAAUUUAAGGUGAUUUGUUCAUUUUCUAGUUUUAUCUAUAUAUGUUCUUCUCUUUAGUGUGCUGGACCAAAAUUGUCUAUUCUAUUCUAUUCUAUUCUAUUCUAUUCUAUUCUAUUCUAUUCGAUUCGAUCCUUCCUGUUAUUUACUACAUUUUUAGUAUCUCAGUAUCAGGUGCAGUGAGUGACAGUUAUUGGUCUGGUGUCAGUGGCUCAGGCGUUACCUCUCUUUAAGGCUGAUCUCAUUUCCUGCACACUUCCUCUGUGGGGUUAACGGCUGGCAGGCUCAUACACAUCCUGGCUGAGGCACACAGAAGGGAAAACAAAAUAAGAGCCAUUGCUGUCAUGGGAGCUAACAAGUGGAAGAUAGCAUGUAUAGUGACAUUUCAUAGCAUAAUGUCCAGUUAAUUAAAGUGAUAGGUAACAGGUAUCAUGCACUGCUAUACAGCUAUGAUGAUAAUAUGUUUUCUUUAAUUGUCUCCUCCUUGUCAUUUUAUUUUAUUCUUCACUUUUGUAUGUGUCUGUGCCAGCGUUGAGAAAAACACGUGCAGGUUACAGGCUUGUUAAAAUGAGAGUUUUUAUUUAACCUUGUAACCUGUGGCUCAGAAUGUGUGAAACUUAAAAAGAGGUGCAUUUGGUGGUAGUUAUGUGUAGAGUGCUAAAAUUGAUGUUAUUAAUCAAAUUACUUCCUCCAAAAACUUGAAAAUAGGAACCAGAAAGCCUUAUUUUGCUGGCAGUGUCUAAUAGCUUGAGAGGCCCCAUCCUAACUUUGCAGCCUGUGUCUUAAUUAACCUAUUGUUAUAUGUUGUUUUGCACAGAGAGCCUGUAGCUGAUGUUAAAAAGCAGGUGGAAAAUGAAUGACUAACUGGGGGCCCAGAGCAGAGGGAAAGGAAGUGUGAUAAACUAUCCAUGGAAAACAUAAGGGGCCCAUGUCUGACCACUGUAACUGAGUUAUACACUCUGAUGACGCCCAGGAGCUUUUUGAGAAGAUGCUGAUCCACAAAUUCCCAUGGGUUUGGUGGAGUGGACCGGAGCCAGUGGAAAUUGCAAACAAACACUGGAGCUGCUGUGUCUGAUGUGAGCACAAACGACCUCAGACGCCCUCAUUCUCACACAUCACAUCUGUGUGUGCGAUUGUGCAUGUGUUUGGGUGUACGUGAAGGAAAGUAAGAGAAAGUGAGAAAGAGAUUGUGUGUGUGUGUGUGUGUUUGUGUGUGUGUGUGUGCGUGUGAUUGCAAAGCCUAGAAGGCGUUUCAAAGGCACUACAACAUUAGAUUUAUGAGGGCAUUCACAGUAACACUGGCAAUUAAACAAAGA